GAGCACGUAGGUGGGUUUGUAAAGUCAGGUGUGAAAGCCUUCUGUUCAACGGAAGAAUUGCAUCUGAAACUGCGAGUCUUGAGUGUAGGAGGGAAGAAUGGAACUUCUGGUGGAGCGGUGAAAUGCGUAGAUAUCAGAAGGAACGCCGGCGGCGAAAGCGAUUCUCUGGCCUAUUACCGACGCUCAGUGUGCGAAAGCUAGGGGAGCAAACGGGAUUAGAUACCCCGGUAGUCCUAGCCGUAAACGAUGGGCACUAAGUAGAGGGG
rnacentral:rRNA from 1 species